rnacentral:rRNA from 1 species
GGCGCAAGGGUGCGUAACACGUGGGUAAUCUGCCGUGGAGUUUGGGAUAACUUGCUGAAAGGCGAGCUAAUACCGGAUGUGACCGCUGAGAGACAUCUCCCGGCGGUUAAAGUUGGGGACCGUAAGGCCUGACGCUUCAUGAUGAACCCGCGGCCUAUCAGCUAGUUGGUGAGGUAACGGCCCACCAAGGCUAAGACGGGUAGCUGGUCUGAGAGGACGACCAGCCACACUGGAACUGAGACACGGUCCAGACACCUACGGGUGGCAGCAGUCGAGAAUUUUUCACAAUGGGCGCAAGCCUGAUGGAGCGACGCCGCGUGGGGGAUGAAUGGCUUCGGCCCGUAAACCCCUGUCAUUCGCGAUCAACCGUUGUUAUUUAAAAGAUGACAGCCUGAUAGUAGCGGAAGAGGAAGGGACGGCUAACUCUGUGCCAGCAGCCGCGG